rfam:Firmicutes bacterium CAG:102 genomic scaffold, scf117
GAAAAAACUGAAUCAUUGCCGUAGACAGCAGGUGCGAUUUGCCGCGUAAAUCCUGCCGAGGAAAAAUUGCUAUGAGCGUUUCAGCCUCUUUGUCUAUGUGCAAAGAGGCUUUUUCAAUGACAGG